rnacentral:lncRNA from 1 species
CCAGCUAAUGUCAUUCAGGUACGAGUUUUGUUUGUUAUAGAGGGCACUAUCUGUAGUUCACAGUUCUGUUUAUUGGGGUGAGUUUUCUUGUUGUUGUUCCAUUUAUGAGAGCGCCUUAUGAUUUGCAUUCUGUUAUGUGAUUAUCCUGUUGGGAGGAUUUAUGAGUGAUUGCCGUGUCUAUCGUCUGUUUCUAGUCAUUGUCCGGAGUUAUGAGGCUAUUCGUAAAUUCACGAUGUCUGUUUUGGUAGGAUUGAUGUGAUCUCUGAGUAUUCUUUGGUUACGAGCUAUGAUUUCUAGGCUCAACCAGUGUGGGAGCCA